GAUGAACGCUGGCGGCGUGCCUAAUACAUGCAAGUCGAGCGAACAGACGAGGAGCUUGCUCCUCUGACGUUAGCGGCGGACGGGUGAGUAACACGUGGAUAACCUACCUAUAAGACUGGGAUAACUUCGGGAAACCGGAGCUAAUACCGGAUAAUAUAUUGAACCGCAUGGUUCAAUAGUGAAAGACGGUUUUGCUGUCACUUAUAGAUGGAUCCGCGCCGCAUUAGCUAGUUGGUAAGGUAACGGCUUACCAAGGCAACGAUGCGUAGCCGACCUGAGAGGGUGGUAGGCCACACGGGAGCGGGGCCGCGGACCAGGGGACUGCGGGAGGGAGCAGAAGCGAAUGUGCGGCAAUGGUCGAAAGCUUGACAGAGUGGGGGGAAGUGAGAGACAAAGGCGUUGGGUUCGUAAUGACGUCCUAUGGGUGAAGAACAAAUGUGGAAUUAACUAUGGCGGGCUUGACGGUACCGUAUCAGAAAGCAACGGCUAACUACGUG
rnacentral:rRNA from 1 species